GGUUUAAUAGUUUAUAUAAAACAUUAAUUUUGUAAAUUAAAAUAAGAUAAACCU
rnacentral:tRNA from 1 species